rnacentral:rRNA from 1 species
GACGAACGCUGGCGGCGUGCUUAACACAUGCAAGUCGAGCGGUAAGGCCCUUUCGGGGGUACACGAGCGGCGAACGGGUGAGUAACACGUGGGUGACCCGCCCUCAGCUCUGGGAUAAGCCUGGGAAACCAGGUCUAAUACCGGAUAUGACUCCAUGACGCAUGUUGUGGGGUGGAAAGCCUUGUGCGGCUGAGGAUGGGCCCGCGGCCUAUCAGCUUGUUGGUGGGGUGAUGGCCUACCAAGGCGUGGACGGGUAGCCGGCCUGAGAGGGUGUUCGGUCACACUGGGACUGAGAUACGGCCCAGACUCCUACGGGAGGCAGCAGUGGGGGAUUUUGCACAAUGGACGAAAGUCUGAUGCAGUGACGCCGCGUGGGGAUGACGG